AUUGAACGCUGGCGGCAUGCUUUACACAUGCAAGUCGAACGGUAACAGGCCGCAAGGUGCUGACGAGUGGCGAACGGGUGAGUAAUGCAUCGGAACGUGCCCAGUCGUGGGGGAUAACGCAGCGAAAGCUGCGCUAAUACCGCAUACGAUCUAUGGAUGAAAGCGGGGGACCGUAAGGCCUCGCGCGAUUGGAGCGGCCGAUGUCAGAUUAGGUAGUUGGGGGGGUAAAGGCUCACCAAGCCAACGAUCUGUAGCUGGUCUGAGAGGACGACCAGCCCCACGGGGACUGAGACACGGCCCAGACUCCUACGGGAGGCAGCAGUGGGGAAUUUUGGACAAUGGGCGCAAGCCUGAUCCAGCAAUGCCGCGUGCAGGAAGAAGGCCUUCGGGUUGUAAACUGCUUUUGUACGGAACGAAACGGUCCUGGUUAAUACCUGGGGCUAAUGACGGUACCGUAAGAAUAAGCACCGGCUAACUACGUGCCAGCAGCCGCCGUAA
rnacentral:rRNA from 1 species